CCGGAGUUGGUGGAAAUUGAGGGUAAAGCCUAGCUUAUGCUUCUGCGUUUUCAGAGCGACGCAGACGCAAGGCCCCCUUGCGUGUCCUUUUACACCUCCUUGCGUCCUUGGGUGCUUGCGUGCGUCGACCCAUUUUUCUAGGCUUCGAUUGGUCCGCUAACUACAUCCUUUAUGGAGUCUUACAUUUCCGUUUUCAUAGCAAAAUACCGCCAUUAUUAAAACGAAGAAUGUUUACGAGAGAACGGAUCCGAUUUAAGAACUUUUGUCUGAAGAAAUGCGUAAAUAUGACCGCUUAUACAACGUCAUUGGCGGGUUGUAGAAGCGGGUUGCAUUCAUAGAGGGAGGUCGCCGCAAACGCCGGUUUGCGGGUUGAGAGGUGAACAAAGUUGUGGAGGAAAAUACGGCAGAAAUGUGUCCACAAUGAAACGCAGCAGUGGCGAUGCACGGGGCAAUAAAGUCUAUGAUAAAUAAAAUAAACAAACCAACGACUUCCACAAACAAAGACGUGACUCCCUAGAUUGUCGUCAAAACACGUUACUCCACCUGUUGUUCUGGCGGUGAAUUUCUCUGCAACAUACGCAAGACUUAAUAGAACCAUGAAUUGAAACGAGUGCGUCGACGCAACGACGCAGGCGCAGAUGCAGAAGCAUGCGCCAGCCUUUAGUGAGUACUUCUCAAACACGGGGGCCUGACCCUGUAGUGGGUCGCAGUGGUAUUACAGGUUUAGGUUCAGCAUGCUGACUGCUAUUCGAGCCACCAGACGUUCCCUGGGAUUCUUCAGGAGUGUCUCUAACUAUGCCAUUGACUCAGGUAAAACUCACAUACCAUUUGUUCCUUUUCUGUUAUCAGAGAUAGGUGAGCAAAAACUUUAACUUUAUUCUCUUAUUUUAUACUAACCCAUAGCCUUAUUCUACCAACCCAUAGCAUUAGCAUACUUGUGCACUGUGUGUAUAUAUUUUGGCAAUAAAUGUUUCCUGAUUCCUGAUAACCCAAACGUGUGAGUGGAGAAAGCCGUCUUUUCCCCGGACUCUGGUGACAGGGGAAUUUGCAAGUAGCCCGUUGUCAAAUCCAGUGUCGUAAAAGAACGUGCGGUGCCCAAUCAGUCCAGGAGUUCGUCGACCCGGGGCAUCGGGUACGCAUCAAAGCGUGACACAGCAUUCAUCCUGCGAUAGUCCACACAGAACCUAUUAGAGCCGUCCUUCUUGGCAACCAGAACAAUGGGGCUGCACCAGGCACUGUUGGAUUCCUCUAUUACCCCCAUCUCCAGCAAAUCUCCAGCCAAUUCUCUCUGAACUAUUUUCCUCUUGUAUUUAAGUAACCUGUAGGGCCGUGACCGCACCGUCACGCCCAGGGACGUCUCAAUGUGAUGCAUGAUGAGAUCCAUGCGGGCGACUGUGGGUGAGUGGGGAGCACGGUCGUCCUCCAAUCAGA
ensembl:lncRNA